AAUAAUUAAUAAAUAGAAAAAAAAUAAUAAUACGCCAUUAUCUAAUUUAUACUCAUCCAUCGCUAAUAUUAAUGCUGUCAUCAUUAAAUUGAUUAAGUUGAUAUAUCAAUUUGUAGAAUACCUACUAAAUUUGUUGUUCUUAGCCGUGCAUCUUAUUGUUUCGUUGUUUCAAUUAACUUAUUCUAUUUGUCAACUGGUCAAUUGUUUAAUAAUUAUACAAUUCUCGUGUACAUGGCGCCUGAAUAAAUUCAUCGAACAAAAAUUAUAAACAAUUGACAUACUGUAGCACAGUAUUUUCAACAAAAAUCAUAAGCUAUUUACUACGUAAAGUAUCUUAUAAAUUAUCUACGUGGAGAAAAAUUGGACCGGCAGAAAUCCCGAGGUUCAGCCAACCUUGGUCACCACACCAUACAUAUAUAGCAUCGCAUAAGGAAAACCCUAAUUGGAAUCGAAAAUUUCAAUCAAAAGAAAGGAGUCGAACCAUUUAUAUUAACUGAAAGCAAAAUUUAAUCUAAAACACAAAGCAAUCUCAAAACUAAAAACAAAACCAAAAUCAUAACCACAACCAUAACCAUAACCAAGAUAAGAACCGAAACCAAGAUAAAAACCGAAACCAAAAUAAAAACUAAA